GAUGAACGCUGGCGGCGUGCCUAAUACAUGCAAGUCGAGCGAACGGACGAGAAGCUUGCUUCUCUGAUGUUAGCGGCGGACGGGUGAGUAACACGUGGAUAACCUACCUAUAAGACUGGGAUAACUUCGGGAAACCGGAGCUAAUACCGGAUAAUAUUUUGAACCGCAUGGUUCAAAAGUGAAAGACGGUCUUGCUGUCACUUAUAGCUGGAUCCGCGCUGCAUUAGCUAGUUGGUAAGGUAACGGCUUACCAAGGCAACGAUGCAUAGCCGACCUGAGAGGGUGAUCGGCCACACUGGAACUGAGACACGGUCCAGACUCCUACGGGAGGCAGCAGUAGGGAAUCUUCCGCAAUGGGCGAAAGCCUGACGGAGCAACGCCGCGUGAGUGAUGAAGGUCUUCGGAUCGUAAAACUCUGUUAUUAGGGAAGAACAUAUGUGGAAGUAACUGUGCACAUCUUGACGGUACCUAAUCAGAAAGCCACGGCUAACUACGUG
rnacentral:rRNA from 1 species